AGCUAACGUAAUUAACGUUAACGGUUACUUGGAAAUUCAAACAGUAACGGUCAACUGACAACUGCGCUGAGCCAAAGGACGGGAACAGCAACAAGAGUUUAACUUCUGCUUCGUAAUCUACACACUCUACUGGGCAGUUCAUGAAGACAGAUAGAUGUUGUGCCGACCAGGACAGUUCCUCCUACCACACCAGACUUUGCUGUAUAUGGAUGCCUGACCACUAGCACUGGACAUUUACAACAUUUUGGUGCCAGGGAUCCCUUGCAGAGAAGAUUUUCAAAGACACCCUCAGAAUUACAACAGAUUUUAAGGCUUAAAAUUAUUGUGGGUGGGAGUAUAAUGAACAUAAUAUGAUUGUUUUAUUUUAUUAUUAUUAUUUAUUUUUAAAUAGUUCCCAUUUUUUAAUAAU